rnacentral:rRNA from 1 species
UACGUAGGGUGCGAGCGUUGUCCGGAAUCAUUGGGCGUAAAGCGCGCGUAGGUGGCCUCAUAAGUCCGCUGUGAAAGUCAAAGGCUCAACCUUUGAAAGCCGGUGGAUACUGUGAGGCUAGAGUACGGAAGAGGCGAGUGGAAUUCCUGGUGUAGCGGUGGAAUGCGCAGAUAUCAGGAGGAACACCAAUAGCGAAGGCAGCUCGCUGGGACGUUACUGACACUGAGGCGCGAAAGCGUGGGGAGCGAACAGG